rnacentral:rRNA from 1 species
UACGUAGGGUGCAAGCGUUGUCCGGAAUUAUUGGGCGUAAAGAGCUCGUAGGCGGUUUGUCGCGUCUGCUGUGAAAACUCGGGGCUUAACUCCGGGCCUGCAGUGGGUACGGGCAGACUAGAGUGCGGUAGGGGAGACUGGAAUUCCUGGUGUAGCGGUGAAAUGCGCAGAUAUCAGGAGGAACACCGGUGGCGAAGGCGGGUCUCUGGGCCGUAACUGACGCUGAGGCGCGAAAGCGUGGGGAGCAAACAGG